CGUAGAGCUCGCGGGUGGAGUCGGUGAUGGGCCCCGGCUGGAAGCCCAAGGCCCGCAGCUCCCUGCCGAGCUCCGCGUCUGACAGGCCGGCCAUGCCCGGAACUGCCGCCCAAGCAGAGGGCCGGAAGCGCUCUGUGAGAGGGGAAGCGAGGACCGCCAUCUUGGGAGAGGCGGAAAGGCGGCCUCUAGCCUCCAUCGUGGGAAGGUCAAGCCCUGCAGAGCUACUGGAGAGGGAGCUGGGUUCUACUCUGGCUUGUGCCUCAGCUGAAGAGUCAUGAGCUACGUGCUGACUGGCGAAGCCAACUUCUGCCCAGAUUCAAUUACCAGUGAUUUUAUAGUGUAACCUGCCCCUUCACCAACAAUCCCUGCAAAACUCCAGCUAUGUUAGCCUGAUCAGUCUGUGCAGUGGAAAUAUGAGUUUGAAUUGCCUGUUAAAGUUGGUAAGCACUCCUGACUACGUGUACUGUUACAUGGGAGGAGAUUUAUCUUCUCCUAAGGGGGGACUGGCUUUCAAAACACAAAGUACAGAGCAGUUCCAAUUGCAUGUGUGUUAUUUUGGCACUAACACUGCAGCUAUUUAAAUGAUCCACAGUGACAGCAGAAUUUAUGUUAAAUUGGGAGGAUAAAAUUGGAUUGGAAUUGGAUACUUGUCACUCAGACAUAUCAUUUGUC